CAAUAGCGUAUAUUAAAGUUGUUGCAGUUAAAAAGCUCGUAGUUGGACUUCUGAUUCGAAAGAUCGGUCCGCCGCAAGGCGAGCACUGAUUCUUCGAGUCUUCCUCUCGUAGUUGUUUGGCGCACUUGAUUGGGUGCCAGAUGAAUAUGGGACCUUUACUUUGAAAAAAUUAGAGUGUUCAAAGCAGGCAAUCGCUUGAAUACAUUAGCAUGGAAUAAUAGAAUAGGACUUUGGUUCUAUUUUGUUGGUUUCUAGGACCGAGGUAAUGAUUAAUAGGGAUAGUGGGGGCAUUAGUAUUUAAUUGUCAGAGGUGGAAUUCUCAGAUUUGUUAAAGACUAACUUAUGCGAAAGCAUUUGCCAAGGAUGUUUUCAUUAAUCAAGAACGAAAGUUAGGGGAUCAAAGACGAUCAGAUACCA
rnacentral:rRNA from 1 species